GCAAGCGUUAAUCGGAAUUACUGGGCGUAAAGCGCACGCAGGCGGUUGAUUAAGUUAGAUGUGAAAUCCCCGGGCUUAACCUGGGAAUGGCAUCUAAGACUGGUCAGCUAGAGUCUUGUAGAGGGGGGUAGAAUUCCAUGUGUAGCGGUGAAAUGCGUAGAGAUGUGGAGGAAUACCGGUGGCGAAGGCGGCCCCCUGGACAAAGACUGACGCUCAGGUGCGAAAGCGUGGGGAGCAAACAGGAUUAGAUACCCUGGUAGUCCACGCUGUAAACGAUGUCGAUUUGGAGGUUGUGCCCUUGAGGCGUGGCUUCCGGAGCUAACGCGUUAAAUCGACCGCCUGGGGAGUACGGCCGCAAGGUUAAAACUCAAAUGAAUUGACGGGGGCCCGCACAAGCGGUGGAGCAUGUGGUUUAAUUCGAUGCAACGCGAAGAACCUUACCUAUCUUGACACCAGAGAAU
rnacentral:rRNA from 1 species